rnacentral:piRNA from 1 species
UCUGUCAGCUGAUGAUGUUUCUCAAA